GUGGAUUAGAUACCCUGGUAGUCCAUGCCGUAAACGUUGGGCACUAGGUGUGGGUCUCAACCAACGAGAUCCGCGCCGUCGCUAACGCAUUAAGUGCCCCGCCUGGGGAGUACGGUCGCAAGACUAAAACUCAAAGGAAUUGACGGGGGCCCGCACAAGCAGCGGAGCGUGUUGCUUAAUUCGAUGCAACGCGAAGAACCUUACCUGGGUUUGACAUGUACCGAAAAGCUCUAGAGAUAGGGUGUCCUUCGGGGCGGUACACAGGUGGUGCAUGGUUGUCGCCAGCU
rnacentral:rRNA from 1 species